AACGAACGCUGGCGGCGUGGAUAAGACAUGCAAGUCGAACGGAAUUACUUUUGUAGCAAUACAGAAGUAAUUCAGUGGCGAACGGGUGCGUAACACGUGGGCAAUCUGCCGAGAAGUGGGGGAUAGCUCGCCGAAAGGCGGAUUAAUACCGCAUGUGGUGAGGGAAGACAUCUUCCUGAAUCCAAAGCCGGGGUAACCUGGCGCUUUUUGAGGAGCCCGCGGCCUAUCAGCNGUUGGUGAGGUAACGGCUCACCAAGGCUUUGACGGGUAGCUGGUCUGAGAGGACGACCAGUCACACUGGAACUGAGACACGGUCCAGACACCUACGGGUGGCAGCAGUCGAGAAUUUUUCUCAAUGGGGGAAACCCUGAAGGAGCGACGCCGCGUGGAGGAUGAAGGCUUUCGGGUUGGUAAACU
rnacentral:rRNA from 1 species